UACAGAGGUCUCAAGCGUUGUUCGGAUUCAUUGGGCGUAAAGGGUGCGUAGGCGGCGCGGUAAGUCGGGUGUGAAAUCUUGGAGCUUAACUCCGAAACUGCAUUCGAUACUGCCGUGCUUGAGGACUGGAGAGGAGACUGGAAUUUACGGUGUAGCGGUGAAAUGCGUAGAUAUCGUAAGGAAGACCAGUGGCGAAGGCGGGUCUCUGGACAGUUCCUGACGUGAGGCACGAAGGCCCAGGGGAGCAAACGGG
rnacentral:rRNA from 1 species